GAUGAACGCUGGCGGCGUGCCUAAUACAUGCAAGUCGAGCGAACGGACGAGAAGCUUGCUUCUCUGAUGUUAGCGGCGGACGGGUGAGUAACACGUGGAUAACCUACCUAUAAUACUGGGAUAACUUCGGGAAACCGUAGCUAAUACCGGAUAAUAUUUUGAACCGCAUGGUUCAAAAGUGAAAGACGGUCUUGCUGUCACUUAUAGAUGGAUCCGCGCUGCAUUAGCUAGUUGGUAAGGUAACGGCUUACCAAGGCAACGAUGCAUAGCCGACCUGAGAGGGUGAUCGGCCACACUGGAACUGAGACACGGUCCAGGCUCCUACGGGAGGCAGCAGUAGGGAAUCUUCCGCAAAGGGCGAAAGCCUGACGGAGCAACGCCGCGUGAGUGAUGAAGGUCUUCGGAUCGUAAAACUCUGUUAUUAGGGAAGAACAUAUGUGUAAGUAACUGUGCACAUCUUGACGGUACCUAAUCAGAAAGCCACGGCUAACUACGUG
rnacentral:rRNA from 1 species